GAUGAACGCUGGCGGCGUGCCUAAUACAUGCAAGUCGAGCGAACGGACGAGAAGCUUGCUUCUCUGAUGUUAGCGGCGGACGGGUGUGUAACACGUGGAUAACCUACCUAUAAGACUGGGAUAACUUCGGGAAACCGGAGCUAAUACCGGAUGAUAUUUUGAACCGCAUGGUUCAAAAGUGAAAGACGGUCUUGCUGUCACUUAUAGAUGGAUCCGCGCUGCAUUAGCUAGUUGGUAAGGUAACGGCUUACCAAGGCAACGAUGCAUAGCCGACCUGAGAGGGUGAUCGGCCACACUGGAACUGAGACACGGUCCAGACUCCUACGGGAGGCAGCAGUAGGGAAUCUUCCGCAAUGGGCGAAAGCCUGACUGAGCAACGCCGCGUGAGUGAUGAAGGUCUUCGGAUCGUAAAACUCUGUUAUUAGGGAAGAACAUAUGUGUAAGUAACUGUGCACAUCUUGACGGUACCUAAUCAGAAAGCCACGGCUAACUACGUG
rnacentral:rRNA from 1 species